GUGCUCCCUUCAGCAGCACAUAGACUGAAAUUGGAAGAAUACUGAGAUUAGCCUGGCCCCUGCUCAAGAUUGACACGAAAGUUUGUGAAGCAUUCCAUAUAUUU
ensembl:snRNA U6 U6 spliceosomal RNA